rnacentral:rRNA from 1 species
UUUGCCUACACAUGCAAGUUGCACGGCGCCAUGCCUCUCGAGGAAUGGCGGAGUGGCGGACGGGUGAGGAACGCGUAAGGACCUGCCCCUGGGAGGGGGAUAACAGCUGGAAACGGCUGCUAAUACCCCAUAUCCUGAGGAGGGAAAGGAGAGAUCCGCCCAGGGAGGGGCUUGCGUCUGAUUAGCUAGUUGGGGGGGUAAUGGCCUCCCAAGGCAACGAUCAGUUGCUGGUCUGAGAGGAUGAUCAGCCACACUGGGACUGAGACACGGCCCAGACUCCUACGGGAGGCAGCAGUGAGGAAUCUUCCGCAAUGGGCGAAAGCCUGACGGGGCAAUGCCGCGUGGAGGAUGAAGGCCCAAUGGGUCGUAAACUUCUUUAGAUCAGAGACGAAGAGAUGACGGUACCUGAAGAACUAAGCAUCGGCUAAACCCCGUGCCAGCAGCCGCGGUAAGACGGGGGAUGCGAGCGUUAUCCGGAAUGAUUGGGCGCAAAGGGUCCGCAGGUGGCCCGGUCAGUCCGCUGUCAAAACCUGGGGCUCAACCCUGGACAGGCGGCGGAGACCACCGGGCUUGAGUCCGGUAGGGGCAGAGGGAAUUCCCGGUGGAGCGGUGAAAUGCGUAGAGAUCGGGAAGAACGCCAAGGGCGAAGGCACUCUGCUAGGCCUGAUUUCGCGACUGACACUCAGGGACGAGAGCCAGGGGAGCGAAUGGGAUUAGAUACCCCAGUAGUCCUGGCCGUAAACGAUGGAUACCAAGCCCUUGCGCGUAUCGACCCGGGCAGGGCUGUAGCUAACGCAUGAAGUAUCCCCCCUGGGGAGU